rnacentral:rRNA from 1 species
AAUGAACGCUGGCGGCGUGCCUAACACAUGCAAGUCGAGCGCGAACGUGACUUCGGUCACUAGUAGAGCGGCGAACGGGUGAGUAACACGUGGAUAACCUGCCUGGAAGUGGGGAACAACUCAGGGAAACUUGAGCUAAUACCGCAUACGUCAGCAUAGCGAAAGCGUUGCUGACAAAGAUGGCCUCUUCUUGAAAGCUAUCGCUUCCAGAGGGAUCCGCGUCUGAUUAGCUAGUUGGUGAGGUAAUGGCUCACCAAGGCGACGAUCAGUAGCCGGCCUGAGAGGGUGAUCGGCCACACUGGAACUGAGACACGGUCCAG